UACAGAGGUCCCAAGCGUUGUUCGGAUUUACUGGGCGUAAAGGGUGCGUAGGCGGCCAAAAAAGUUCGAUGUGAAAUCUUGGAGCUCAACUCCGAAACUGCAUUGGAUACUAAUUGGCUUGAGAAACGUAGGGGAGAUUGGAAUUCUCGGUGUAGCAGUGAAAUGCGUAGAUAUCGAGAGGAACACCAGUGGCGAAGGCGAAUCUCUGGACGUUUUCUGACGCUGAGGCACGAAAGCCAAGGGAGCAAACGGG
rnacentral:rRNA from 1 species